rnacentral:rRNA from 1 species
CCUACGGGAGGCAGCAGUGGGGAAUUUUGGACAAUGGGCGCAAGCCUGAUCCAGCAAUGCCGCGUGAGUGAAGAAGGCCUUCGGGUUGUAAAGCUCUUUUGUCAGGGAAGAAACGGUGGGAGCUAAUAUCUCCCGCUAAUGACGGUACCUGAAGAAUAAGCACCGGCUAACUACGUGCCAGCAGCCGCGGUAAUACGUAGGGUGCAAGCGUUAAUCGGAAUUACUGGGCGUAAAGCGUGCGCAGGCGGUUUUGUAAGUCUGUCGUGAAAGCCCCGGGCUCAACCUGGGAAUUGCGAUGGAGACUGCAAGGCUUGAAUCUGGCAGAGGGGGGUAGAAUUCCACGUGUAGCAGUGAAAUGCGUAGAGAUGUGGAGGAACACCGAUGGCGAAGGCAGCCCCCUGGGUCAAGAUUGACGCUCAUGCACGAAAGCGUGGGGAGCAAACAGGAUUAGAUACCCUGGUAGUCCACGCCCUAAACGAUGUCUACUAGUUGUCGGGUUUUAAUUAACUUGGUAACGCAGCUAACGCGUGAAGUAGACCGCCUGGGGAGUACGGUCGCAAGAUUAAAACUCAAAUGAAUUGACCGGNUGAGAGNGCGAGGACGACGACGAGGGAGGAGG